UACGUAGGGGCCAAGCGUUUGUCCGGAUUUAUUGGGCGUAAAGAGCUCGUAGGUGGUUCGGCAAGUCAGUUGUGAAAUCUCCGCGCUCAACGCGGAGGGGUCAGCUGAAACUGCUGUGACUUGAGUCUGGUAGGGGAGUGUGGAAUUCCCGGUGUAGCGGUGAAAUGCGCAGAUAUCAGGAGGAACACCGAUGGCGAAGGCAGCUCGCUGGGCUACUCCUGACACUGAGGUACGAAAGCGUGGGGAGCAAACAGG
rnacentral:rRNA from 1 species